UCUGAUUCCAGAGGAUGCAUUUAUAUACCCACUAAGAUCAUGUGUAGUACCUGUUCUUAUCAGUUUAAUAUCUGAUACGUCCUUUAUUUGAGGACUGUAUCUUAAAUUGAUUUUUGAAACAGGGGGAUGGACUAGGAGCUUGCUCUGUCCACCCCACGCAUUGACCUGGUAUUGCAGUGUCUCCAGGGGAAAAAAAAGAAAA
rnacentral:snRNA from 1 species